rnacentral:tRNA from 1 species
GCCCGUUGGUCAAGAGGUUAAGACACGAGCCUUUCACGCUCGUAACGGGGGUUCGAUUCCCCCACGGGUCACCAA